GGGAAACUGUGGGUAAUACUCGAUAAACUUCCUUUUCUUUAUGAAGGGGAAGCAAUGGGUGUGAUUCCACCUGGGGAGCGGCUUACGCAGUAUCAGCUUGUUGGUGAGGUAACGGCUCACCAAGGCGACGACGCUUAGGGGGUGUGAGAGCAUGGCCCCCACCACUGGCACUGAGACACUGGCCAGACACCUACGGGUGGCUGCAGUCGAGAAUCUUCGGCAAUGGACGCAAGUCUGACCGAGCGACGCCGCGUGCGGGAUGAAGGCCUUCGGGUUGUAAACCGCUGUCAGAGGGGAUGAAGUGUAUGGGGGUACUCCCCUGUACUUGACAGAGCCUCAGAGGAAGCACGGGCUAAGUUCGUGCCAGCAGCCGCGGUAAUACGAACUGUGCGAACGUUAUUCGGAAUCACUGGGCUUAAAGGGUGCGUAGGCGGUUACCUAAGUCAGGUGUGAAAUCUCUCGGCUCAACCGGGAAACUGCGCUUGAAACUGGGUGACUGGAGUGAGGCAGGGGUGUGUGGAACUUCCGGUGGAGCGGUGAAAUGUGUAGAUAUCGGAAGGAACGCCAGCAGCGAAAGCGGCACACUGGGCCUUUUCUGACGCUGAGGCACGAAAGCUAGGGGAGUGAACGGGAUUAGAUACCCCGGUAAUCCUAGCCGUAAACACUGAACACUGGAGGAGGGAGGUUUCGGCCUUCUUUCUCGUAGCGAAAGCGUUAAGUGUUCCGCCUGGGGAGUAUGGUCGCAAGGCUG
rnacentral:rRNA from 1 species